CUAACACCAUUCACGAUGUUCACUGUUCUGUUCAUGUGUCUGUGGCUUUCACUGGGUGACUCCAUGGCAGAUCCAAUAAAGUCACUUUUCACUCACAAAGUUGUGGAUGAAGGUUAUGAUGUUACGCUGUCCUGCAGAUACAAAAAAAGUUCUACAUCAGACUACUUGUACUGGUACAGACAAUAUCCAAAAUCUAAACCUGAUUUCCUUUUUCAUUUUAUUCAAAGUGGAACCAAACUUUCUAACCCUCCACUAAGAAUGUCUUUUAAAGUUGAUGGAGAUAAAGUGGAUCUGAUCAUCUCCUCUGCUGCUGUAUCAGACUCUGCUCUAUACUACUGUGCUCUGCAGCCCACAGUGACAGGAAAUCCAGCUGCACUGUACAAAAACUAACAUACAGUUUUGUUAUAUUGAAAGCAAUUCUGACAAACAUUUAGAGAAGUUUACAUG